CAGGUGUUGAGCCAGAAUUGGCCCCAUUUUCUGCUAAUUUCCAUUCCCUGAUUGUGCUGCCUGCUACAGGAGUCAUUUUGGAUUUGGGCUGACCUGGUAGACUUCUGAAAGACAGUGCUCUGGGUUCAAGUUGUUCUCAGGGCUGGAUGAUCCAUAGCAAAUAUCCCCUGAUGGAUAAGCAUUGUGCUGAGAGACUUGCCUCCAUCAGCUGUGUAAACCUCAGGAUGACCUGCACACAGCUGCCAUGCUGGGAGGAAGCCCAGCAGCCACACAGAGAGGCCACGACAGCCGAGGUCCCAGCCAAGCCAGCAUCAACUGCCCAACACGUCAAUGAGUGAUCCUGCAGAGCCUCCCAUCUCCUAGCCACCGCAGCUGAUGCUCUGAGAGCGGAGGCAAGCUGUCCUUGCUGGGCGCUGCUUAAACUGCAGAUGUAUGAACAAAAUAAAAAUGGUGGUUAUUUUAAGACA